AAAAAAUUAGUUAAAAAAUAACAUUAGUUUGUCAAGCUAAAAUUAUCAUUUUAUGAUAUUUUUUU
rnacentral:tRNA from 1 species